AGGCAGGAAAAUGGCAUAAAACUUAAUCAGCAGAACUACUCCGAAAAAGUCUUGGAAAUAUAUGGAAUGGACAAUGCGAAUCCAGUGGAUACACCCAUGCUGGCCAACAAAGAGAUCAAUGAUGAAGGAAGAAGGACGAAGUCUUUCCCAUUCAGAGAAGCAGUAGGAAGCCUUCUAUAUCUCACUGCUAAAACAAGGCCAGAUCUAAGCUACGCAGUAACGUACAAUAGCAGAAAUACACAAAAUCCUUCCGAUAUAGAUAUCACGAAUGUUAUUGCGAUGCAGACUAUGCAGGAGAUGUAAAAAGUAGAAAAAGCACAUCUGGAUAUGUAAUAGAAUUUUGCGGAGGACCUAUAAGCUGGGCAUCGCGUAAACAGCCCAUUGUUGCACUAUCGAGUACGGAAGCAGAAUUUAUCUCAGCUGCUGAUUGUUGUAAAGAGCUGCUAUAUUUGAAAAGUUUGUUAGAAGAACUCAUUGAUAAAACUAUAAAUGUAGAAAUGUGUAUAGACAAUCAAAGUGCAAUUAAGCUUAUUAAAACGGGCAAUUUUAAUCGUAGGUCAAAACACAUAGAUGUGCGAUUUCAUUUUAUAAGCGAAAAGGUUAAAGAAAAUAGUAUUAAUAUUGUAAGAAAUAUAUGCGUCCGGCGGAACUCGUCAUAUUGCGUACCAUGCGUCUUACACAGCUGUUUAUUGCGUGCGCAUCCGAGCAGGCGCAACACAGGAGCGUAACAGGAGUGGGGCACUGUUCGAAGACCCUGCUCCAAAAAGACCGGCGACUAACUGUCACUCUCUUUUGAGAAGCGCUAUAAUACGGUUGGAAAAAUUAUACGUGCGGGAGUCUUUUGGUCUGUACUUGGAGAAUAAAUUGAUUGCGAGUCUUUUCUUAUACUUUAA